GAAAUGCGAUAAGUAGUGUGAAUUGCAGAAUUCAGUGAAUCAUCGAAUCUUUGAACGCACAUUGCGCCCCUUGGUAUUCCAUGGGGCAUGCCUGUUCGAGCGUCAUUUGUACCCUCAAGCUAUGCUUGGUGUUGGGUGUUUGUCCUCUCCUUGUGUUUGGACUCGCCUCAAAGACAUUGGCAGCCAGUGUAUUGGUCUUGAAGCGCAGCACAAUUUGCGAUUCUGGCUGAUAAUCUAGCGUCCAUUAAGCCUCUUUUAUCACUUUUGACCUCGGAUCAGGUAGGGAUACCCGCUGAACUUAA
rnacentral:misc_RNA from 1 species